rnacentral:rRNA from 1 species
UAUGUGAUCGUCUCUCGCAUAUCAAUAAGCGGAGGAAAAGAAACUAACAAGGAUUCCCCUAGUAACGGCGAGUGAAGCGGGAAGAGCUCAAAUUUGAAAUCUUAAAGGGUUUCCCUUUACGAAUUGUAGUUUAAAGAAGUGUUUUCUGUUGAGGUUUUGGUAAAAGUUCUCUGGAAUAGGACAUCAUAGAGGGUGAGAAUCCCGUAUUUGACCUUUACUUUCAACUUUGUGAUACACUUUCAAAGAGUCGGAUUGUUUGGGAAUGCAGUCCAAAAUGGGUGGUAAAUUUCAUCUAAAGCUAAAUAUUGGCGAGAGACCGAUAGCGAACAAGUACCGUGAGGGAAAGAUGAAAAGAACUUUGAAAAGAGAGUUAAACAGUACGUGAAAUUGUCAAAUGGGAAGCGUUUGACACCAGUGUUGUUUUUCUGAAAAUCAAUUAAAGAACUGUUUAUGCUAAGCUGUUUAGACUUUAUCAGCUAACUGUUUAGUUUUGAGCUUUUCUUUAAUGCACUUUUCAGUUAACAAGUCAACAUCAAUUUCUUUUGCUGUAAAUAAGCUUGAGGAGGGUGGCUUGAGAUUCGUCUUAAGUGUUUAUAGCCUCUUGCCUAUGCAGUCGGAGAGAUUGAGGUCUGCAGCGUAGAUCCUUCGGGGCUAAAUGCAUUUGUGCUAAGUUAUAGCAUUUUAUAGACAACUUGUUGACUAUGAUUUGUCUUGUAGCUUACUCGCUUAUGUUAUUUUACCUACGCUUAGGAUGUUGAGUAGCGACAUACGCAC